rnacentral:rRNA from 1 species
GAUGAACGCUGGCGGCGUGCCUAAUACAUGCAAGUCGAGCGAACAGACGAGGAGCUUGCUCCUCUGACGUUAGCGGCGGACGGGUGAGUAACACGUGGAUAACCUACCUAUAAGACUGGGAUAACUUCGGGAAACCGGAGCUAAUACCGGAUAAUAUAUUGAACCGCUUGGUUCAAUAGUGAAAGACGGUUUUGCUGUCACUUAUAGAUGGAUCCGCGCCGCAUUAGCUAGUUGGUAAGGUAACGGCUUACCAAGGCGACGAUGCGUAGCCGACCUGAGAGGGUGAUCGGCCACACUGGAACUGAGACACGGUCCAGACUCCUACGGGAGGCAGCAGUAGGGAAUCUUCCGCAAUGGGCGAAAGCUUGACGGAGCAACGCCGCGUGAGUGAUGAAGGUCUUCGGAUCGUAAAACUCUGUUAUUAGGGAAGAACAAAUGUGUAAGUAACUAUGCACGUCUUGACGGUACCUAAUCAGAAAGCCACGGCUAACUACGU